rnacentral:rRNA from 1 species
GCAGUCGCCGCGGUAAUACGGAGGAUCCAAGCGUUAUCCGGAAUCAUUGGGUUUAAAGGGUCCGUAGGCGGUCUUGUAAGUCAGUGGUGAAAGCCCAUCGCUCAACGGUGGAACGGCCAUUGAUACUGCAGGACUUGAAUUAUUGGGAAGUAACUAGAAUAUGUAGUGUAGCGGUGAAAUGCUUAGAGAUUACAUGGAAUACCAAUUGCGAAGGCAGGUUACUACCAAUUGAUUGACGCUGAUGGACGAAAGCGUGGGUAGCGAACAGGAUUAGAUACCCCCGUAGUCCCUGUCUCUUAUAC